rnacentral:rRNA from 1 species
ACUCCUACGGGAGACAGCAGUGGGGAAUAUUGCACAAUGGGCGCAAGCCUGAUGCAGCCAUGCCGCGUGUAUGAAGAAGGCCUUCGGGUUGUAAAGUACUUUCAGCAGUGAGGAAGGCAGGUACGUUAAUAGCGUGCUUGUUUGACGUUAGCUGCAGAAGAAGCACCGGCUAACUCCGUGCCAGCAGCCGCGGUAAUACGGAGGGUGCGAGCGUUAAUCGGAAUUACUGGGCGUAAAGCGCAUGCAGGUGGUUUGUUAAGUCAGAUGUGAAAGCCCGGGGCUCAACCUCGGAAUUGCAUUUGAAACUGGCAGACUAGAGUACUGUAGAGGGGGGUAGAAUUUCAGGUGUAGCGGUGAAAUGCGUAGAGAUCUGAAGGAAUACCGGUGGCGAAGGCGGCCCCCUGGACAGAUACUGACACUCAGAUGCGAAAGCGUGGGGAGCAAACAGGAUUAGAU